UACGGGGGGGGCAAGCGUUGUUCGGAAUUACUGGGCGUAAAGGGUUCGUAGGUGGCCAACUAAGUCAGAUGUGAAAUCCCUCAGCUUAACUGGGGAACUGCGUCUGAUACUGGUUGGCUUGAGUGCAGGAGAGGAACGCGGAAUUCCAGGUGUAGCGGUGAAAUGCGUAGAUAUCUGGAGGAACACCGGUGGCGAAGGCGGCGUUCUGGACUGCAACUGACACUGAGGAACGAAAGCCAGGGGAGCAAACGGG
rnacentral:rRNA from 1 species